rnacentral:ncRNA from 2 species
CCACCAUCGAGACCGGCAGAGGGACAGGCCCUUUGAAGCCGGGGCAGCCAGCGACCCAGUCCAGCGUGUCGUGUCGGUGCCAAAUCCUGCGGCGACGCGUUUGCGUUUUGACCGAAAGAUGGUUC